rnacentral:rRNA from 1 species
CAGCAGCCGCGGGAAUACGAAGGGUGCAAGCGUUACUCGGAAUUACUGGGCGUAAAGCGUGCGUAGGUGGUGGUUUAAGUCCGUUGUGAAAGCCCUGGGCUCAACCUGGGAAUUGCAGUGGAUACUGGGUCACUAGAGUGUGGUAGAGGAUAGUGGAAUUUCCGGUGUAGCAGUGAAAUGCGUAGAGAUCGGAAGGAACAUCUGUGGCAAAGGCGACUAUCUGGGCCAACACUGACACUGAGGCACGAAAGCGUGGGGAGCAAACAGGAUUAGAUACCCCUGUAGUCCCUGUCUCUUAUAC